UAGAGUUUGAUCCUGGCUCAGAUUGAACGCUGGCGGCAGGCCUAACACAUGCAAGUCGAGCGGCAGCGGGAAAGUAGCUUGCUACUUUUGCCGGCGAGCGGCGGACGGGUGAGUAAUGCCUGGGAAAUUGCCCAGUCGAGGGGGAUAACAGUUGGAAACGACUGCUAAUACCGCAUACGCCCUACGGGGGAAAGCAGGGGACCUUCGGGCCUUGCGCGAUUGGAUAUGCCCAGGUGGGAUUAGCUAGUUGGUGAGGUAAUGGCUCACCAAGGCGACGAUCCCUAGCUGGUCUGAGAGGAUGAUCAGCCACACUGGAACUGAGACACGGUCCAGACUCCUACGGGAGGCAGCAGUGUGGAAUAUUGCACAACGGGGGAAACCCUUAUGCAGCCAUGCCGCGCGUGUGAAGACGGCCUUCGGGUUGUAAAGCACUCUCAGCGAGGAGGAAAGUUCAGUAGCUAAUAUGUGUUGGCUGUGACGUUACUCGCAGAAGAAGCACCGGCUAACUCCGUCCCCGCAGCCGCGGUAAUACGGAGGGCGCAAGCGUUAAUCGGAAUUACUGGGUGUAAAGCGCACGCAGGCGGUUGGAUAAGUUAGAUGUGAUAGCCCCGGGCUCAAUCUGGGAAUCGCAUUUAAAACUGUCCAGCUAGAGUCUUGUAGAGGGGGGUAGAAUUCCAGGUGUAGCGGUGAAAUGCGUAGAGAUCUGGAGGAAUACCGGUGGCGAAGGCGGCCCCCUGGACAAAGACUGACGCUCAGGUGCGAAAGCGUGGGGAGCAAACAGGAAUAG
rnacentral:rRNA from 1 species